rnacentral:rRNA from 1 species
UACGUAGGUGGCAAGCGUUGUCCGGAAUUAUUGGGCGUAAAGCGCGCGCCAGGCGGCCUCUUGAGUCUGAUGUGAAAGCCCCCGGCUCAACCGGGGAGGGCCAUUGGAAACUGGGAGGCUUGAGUAUAGGAGAGAAGAGUGGAAUUCCACGUGUAGCGGUGAAAUCGCGUAGAGAUCGUGGAGGAACACCAGUGGCGAAGGCGACUCUUUGGCCUACUAACUG